AAUGAACGCUGGCGGCAUGCCUUACGCAUGCAAGUCGAACGGCAGCAUGACCUAGCUUGCUAGGUUGAUGGCGAGUGGCGAACGGGUGAGUAAUGCAUCGGAACGUGCCUUUUAGUGGGGGAUAACGUAGCGAAAGUUACGCUAAUACCGCAUAUUCUCUGAGGAGGAAAGCAGGGGACCUUCGGGCCUUGCGCUAGAAGAGCGGCCGAUGUCGGAUUAGCUAGUUGGUGAGGUAAAGGCUCACCAAGGCAACGAUCCGUAGCGGGUCUGAGAGGAUGAUCCGCCACACUGGGACUGAGACACGGCCCAGACUCCUACGGGAGGCAGCAGUGGGGAAUUUUGGACAAUGGGCGCAAGCCUGAUCCAGCCAUGCCGCGUGAGUGAAGAAGGCCUUCGGGUUGUAAAGCUCUUUCGGCUGGGAAGAAAUCGCACCCUCUAAUACAGGGUGUGGAUGACGGUACCAGCAGAAGAAGCACCGGCUAACUACGUG
rnacentral:rRNA from 1 species